GAGUUUGAUCUUGGCUCAGAUUGAACGCUGGCGGCAUGCCUUACACAUGCAAGUCGAACGGCAGCAUGAUCUAGCUUGCUAGAUUGAUGGCGAGUGGCGAACGGGUGAGUAAUACAUCGGAACGUGCCCUGUAGUGGGGAUAGCUAGUCGAAAGAUUAGCUAAUACCGCAUACGACCUGAGGGUGAAAGUGGGGGACCGCAAGGCCUCAUGCUAUAGGAGCGGCCGAUGUCUGAUUAGCUAGUUGGUGGGGUAAAGGCCCACCAAGGCGACGAUCAGUAGCUGGUCUGAGAGGACGAUCAGCCACACUGGGACUGAGACACGGCCCAGACUCCUACGGGAGGCAGCAGUGGGGAAUUUUGGACAAUGGGCGAAAGCCUGAUCCAGCAAUGCCGCGUGUGUGAAG
rnacentral:rRNA from 1 species